rnacentral:rRNA from 1 species
ACAAUGAAGAGUUUGAUCCUGGCUCAGGAUGAACGCUAGCUACAGGCUUAACACAUGCAAGUCGAGGGGCAGCAU